rnacentral:lncRNA from 1 species
GGCCGCCCUCGGGCCCCGGCGGGGUUUGGGCCGCGCUCCCCAGGAACCCGCUCCAGCCUGGCCCCGGAGAGCGAGAGCCCGGCGCCUGCGUGGCCCCCGGGGCUGGCCCCAGAACCCUGUUCCUUACGCUGCCUGACAUCGGCGAGGAGGGGGCCUCGGACGGCGACUCCGGGGAUGGCGAAGCAGGACUGUCAGAAGGACGUAGAAGGCACAGUUUUACUGUGAGGAGCAAAGAUUCUUUACCUACGCAUUUUACAAGAAAUGUGCAGAAAGCCAUUGAUAAAUACACCUGCGGAAGCCAUACACCCACGGGAGCCCACACCUCUUGGUCUGGGUCGGCCACACAGAGCUCUACCACCGGCUCAUCCACGGAGAGGGGCUCCAUUUAUUCCUGGAGAGAUGACGAAUUUGACGAAGCCAGUUCACAGUCAGUGCAGCGGUUACUCUGGGAGGUGGAGGAAAUGUUA